CAGUAGCCGCGGUAAUACGUAGGGUGCAAGCGUUAAUCGGAAUUACUGGGCGUAAAGCGUGCGCAGGCGGUCCGCUAAGACAGAUGUGAAAUCCCCGGGCUUAACCUGGGAACUGCAUUUGUGACUGGCGGGCUAGAGUAUGGCAGAGGGGGGUAGAAUUCCACGUGUAGCAGUGAAAUGCGUAGAGAUGUGGAGGAAUACCGAUGGCGAAGGCAGCCCCCUGGGCCAAUACUGACGCUCAUGCACGAAAGCGUGGGGAGCAAACAGGAUUAGAUACCCGUGUAGUCCCUGUCUCUUAUAC
rnacentral:rRNA from 1 species